rnacentral:tRNA from 1 species
UAGGAUGUAGCCAAGUGGUAAGGCAUCGGGUUUUGGUCUCGCCAUUCGAAGGUUCGAAUCCUUCCAUCCUAG